GGGUUGUGAGGUUAAGCGACUAAGCGUACACGGUGGAUGCCUUGGCAGUCAGAGGCGAUGAAGGACGUGCUAAUCUGCGAUAAGCGUCGGUAAGGUGAUAUGAACCGUUAUAACCGGCGAUUUCCGAAUGGGGAAACCCAGUGUGUUUCGACACACUAUCAUUAACUGAAUCCAUAGGUUAAUGAGGCGAACCGGGGGAACUGAAACAUCUAAGUACCCCGAGGAAAAGAAAUCAACCGAGAUUCCCCCAGUAGCGGCGAGCGAACGGGGAGCAGCCCAGAGCCUGAAUCAGUGUGUGUGUUAGUGGAAGCGUCUGGAAAGGCGUGCGAUACAGGGUGACAGCCCCGUACACAAAAAUGCACAUGCUGUGAGCUCGAUGAGUAGGGCGGGACACGUGGUAUCCUGUCUGAAUAUGGGGGGACCAUCCUCCAAGGCUAAAUACUCCUGACUGACCGAUAGUGAACCAGUACCGUGAGGGAAAGGCGAAAAGAACCCCGGCGAGGGGAGUGAAAAAGAACCUGAAACCGUGUACGUACAAGCAGUGGGAGCACGCUUAGGCGUGUGACUGCGUACCUUUUGUAUAAUGGGUCAGCGACUUAUAUUCUGUAGCAAGGUUAACCGAAUAGGGGAGCCGAAGGGAAACCGAGUCUUAACUGGGCGUUAAGUUGCAGGGUAUAGACCCGAAACCCGGUGAUCUAGCCAUGGGCAGGUUGAAGGUUGGGUAACACUAACUGGAGGACCGAACCGACUAAUGUUGAAAAAUUAGCGGAUGACUUGUGGCUGGGGGUGAAAGGCCAAUCAAACCGGGAGAUAGCUGGUUCUCCCCGAAAGCUAUUUAGGUAGCGCCUCGUGAAUUCAUCUCCGGGGGUAGAGCACUGUUUCGGCAAGGGGGUCAUCCCGACUUACCAACCCGAUGCAAACUGCGAAUACCGGAGAAUGUUAUCACGGGAGACACACGGCGGGUGCUAACGUCCGUCGUGAAGAGGGAAACAACCCAGACCGCCAGCUAAGGUCCCAAAGUCAUGGUUAAGUGGGAAACGAUGUGGGAAGGCCCAGACAGCCAGGAUGUUGGCUUAGAAGCAGCCAUCAUUUAAAGAAAGCGUAAUAGCUCACUGGUCGAGUCGGCCUGCGCGGAAGAUGUAACGGGGCUAAACCAUGCACCGAAGCUGCGGCAGCGACGCUGAUGCGUUGUUGGGUAGGGGAGCGUUCUGUAAGCCUGCGAAGGUGUGCUGUGAGGCAUGCUGGAGGUAUCAGAAGUGCGAAUGCUGACAUAAGUAACGAUAAAGCGGGUGAAAAGCCCGCUCGCCGGAAGACCAAGGGUUCCUGUCCAACGUUAAUCGGGGCAGGGUGAGUCGACCCCUAAGGCGAGGCCGAAAGGCGUAGUCGAUGGGAAACAGGUUAAUAUUCCUGUACUUGGUGUUACUGCGAAGGGGGGACGGAGAAGGCUAUGUUGGCCGGGCGACGGUUGUCCCGGUUUAAGCGUGUAGGCUGGUUUUCCAGGCAAAUCCGGAAAAUCAAGGCUGAGGCGUGAUGACGAGGCACUACGGUGCUGAAGCAACAAAUGCCCUGCUUCCAGGAAAAGCCUCUAAGCAUCAGGUAACAUCAAAUCGUACCCCAAACCGACACAGGUGGUCAGGUAGAGAAUACCAAGGCGCUUGAGAGAACUCGGGUGAAGGAACUAGGCAAAAUGGUGCCGUAACUUCGGGAGAAGGCACGCUGAUAUGUAGGUGAAGCGACUUGCUCGUGGAGCUGAAAUCAGUCGAAGAUACCAGCUGGCUGCAACUGUUUAUUAAAAACACAGCACUGUGCAAACACGAAAGUGGACGUAUACGGUGUGACGCCUGCCCGGUGCCGGAAGGUUAAUUGAUGGGGUCAGCGCAAGCGAAGCUCUUGAUCGAAGCCCCGGUAAACGGCGGCCGUAACUAUAACGGUCCUAAGGUAGCGAAAUUCCUUGUCGGGUAAGUUCCGACCUGCACGAAUGGCGUAAUGAUGGCCAGGCUGUCUCCACCCGAGACUCAGUGAAAUUGAACUCGCUGUGAAGAUGCAGUGUACCCGCGGCAAGACGGAAAGACCCCGUGAACCUUUACUAUAGCUUGACACUGAACAUUGAGCCUUGAUGUGUAGGAUAGGUGGGAGGCUUUGAAGUGUGGACGCCAGUCUGCAUGGAGCCGACCUUGAAAUACCACCCUUUAAUGUUUGAUGUUCUAACGUGGACCCGUGAUCCGGGUUGCGGACAGUGUCUGGUGGGUAGUUUGACUGGGGCGGUCUCCUCCUAAAGAGUAACGGAG
rnacentral:rRNA from 1 species